CCUACGGGGGGCAGCAGUGAGGAAUAUUGGUCAAUGGGCUUACGCCUGAACCAGCCAAGUCGCGUGAGGGAAGACUGCCCUAUGGGUUGUAAACCUCUUUUGUCAGGGAGCAAUUGGCGCUACGUGUAGCGUUAUCGAGAGUACCUGAAGAAAAAGCAUCGGCUAACUCCGUGCCAGCAGCCGCGGUAAUACGGAGGAUGCGAGCGUUAUCCGGAUUGAUUGGGUUUAAAGGGUGCGUAGGCGGAAUGCCAAGUCAGCGGUAAAAUCGCGGGGCUCAACCUCGCUCCGCCGUUGAAACUGGCGUUCUUGAGUGGGCGAGAAGUAUGUGGAAUGCGUGGUGUAGCGGUGAAAUGCAUAGAUAUCACGCAGAACUCCGAUUGCGAAGGCAGCAUACCGGCGCCCAACUGACGCUGAAGCACGAAAGCGUGGGUAUCGAACAGGAUUAGAUACCCUUGUAGUC
rnacentral:rRNA from 1 species